GUGGUUGCCGAAAUGAGACAAGUCUCCACGUUUGGAGGUGGAAAGCUGUCUGUACUACUUGCUAAUACCCUAGCCUAUACUAGUUGCUUAUGCUUACAGUUACAGCUUAGUGAUUGAACUGAACAAAUAAAAACAUAAACUUGAAAUCUGAAACUGAAAGUCUUAAACUCUUUAGAGAGUAGAGACUAAUGA